rnacentral:rRNA from 1 species
UACAGAGGGGGCAAGCGUUAUUCGGAAUUAUUGGGCGUAAAGGGCGCGUAGGCGGCCUGGCAAGUAGAAGGUGAAAUCCCUCGGCUUAACCGAGGAACUGCCCUCCAAACUGCUUGGCUUGAGUCCGGGAGAGGUGAGUGGAAUUCCCAGUGUAGCGGUGAAAUGCGUAGAUAUCGGUAGGAACACCAGUGGCGCAGGCGGUCUCCUGGGGUCUCCUUGACGCUGAGGCGCGAAAGCUGGGGGAGCGAACGGG